rnacentral:siRNA from 1 species
CAUGUUGGAUUUGUGGAAUCGC